rnacentral:rRNA from 1 species
AUGCUCGCCGCAGACAUCAUCCAGAUCUCCACGUCGCCCUUCACGGCGCCGGUGCUCCUCGUCCGUAAGUCAGACGGCACAUGGUGCUUCUGCAUCGACUACCGCGCCCUCAACGCACUCACGCUCAAGGACAAGUUCCCUAUACCGGUGGUCGACGAGCUCUUGGAUGAGCUCCAUGGGGCAUGCUUCUUCACCAAGCUCGAUCUCCGGUCGGGCUAUCAUCAGGUGCGCAUGCAUCCGGACGACAUCGCCAAGACGGUGUUUCGCACCCACCAUGGCCACUUCGAGUUCUUGGUGAUGCCUUUCGGCCUCGCCAACGCCCCGGCGACGUUCCAGGCCCUGAUGAACGACGUCCUUCGA